GCAGUCGUGGCCGAGUGGUUAAGGCGAUGGACUAGAAACCCAGUAUCCCCACACAGGUUCGAAUCCUGUCAACAGCG
rnacentral:tRNA from 1 species